CACAUGAGAACAGGGUCACCUUGUUCUAUAUCAAGGUUGACGAUGUAACAAGGAUAACUAAAACAAAAAUGCCAUUUUCUUCUCCUCACUUCUAGCCAUCAUCUUAUAAACUAUAAGGACCACAAUGCAAAUCACAUACAGAAAAUCUAAUUAAGGGAUAAGCACAGCCACUUAGCUAAGCACAAACUGUGUGCAUGUGUGUAACGUUAUCAUACGCAAUCUCUGUCUUUGGGAUAAUUAACAGGAUGAAAAUACUACAGCUUUAAAAAAAAAAUAACACAUCAUUAUCUUAAUUGUCU